UACGUAGGGAGCAAGCGUUGUCCGGAAUCAUUGGGCGUAAAGCGCGCGUAGGCGGCCUCAUAAGUCCGUUGUGAAAGUCAAAGGCUCAACCUUUGAAAGCCGAUGGAUACAUGUGAGGCUAGAGUCCGGAAGAGGCGAGUGGAAUUCCCGGUGUAGCGGUGAAAUGCGCAGAUAUCGGGAGGAACACCAAUGGCGAAGGCAGCUCGCUGGGACGGUACUGACGCUAAGGCGCGAAAGCGUGGGGAGCGAACAGG
rnacentral:rRNA from 1 species